GCUUGUCUCAAAGAUUAAGCCAUGCAUGUCUCAGUAUAAGUUCCUGUACGGCGAAACUGCGAAUGGCUCAUUAAAACAGUUACAGUUUAUUUGAUGGUCGUUCCUUACAUGGAUAACUGUGGUAAUUCUAGAGCUAAUACAUGCUAUAUGCCCGGCUUCUGGCAGGGCUGUAUUUAUUAGAUACUAAACCAGUGUCGCAAGACAUUGUGGUGAAUCACAGUAACUGAUCGAAUCGGCGCGCAAGCGGCGAUAAAUCAUUCAAGUUUCUGCCCUAUCAGCUUUCGAUGGUAGUGUAUUGGACUACCAUGGCAGUCACGGGUAACGGAGAAUUAGGGUUCGGUUCCGGAGAGGGAGCCUGAGAAACGGCUACCACAUCUAAGGAAGGCAGCAGG
rnacentral:rRNA from 1 species